rnacentral:rRNA from 1 species
UACAGAGGGUGCGAGCGUUAAUCGGAAUUACUGGGCGUAAAGGGCGCGUAGGCGGAGAGCUUUGUCGGGCGUGAAAUUCCAGGGCUCAACCUUGGGUGUGCGUUCGAGACGGGUUUUCUUGAGUUCGGAAGAGGGUUGUGGAAUUCCCAGUGUAGAGGUGAAAUUCGUAGAUAUUCGCAAGAACACCAGUGGCGAAGGCGGCUCACUGGCCCGAUACUGACGCUGAGGCACGAAAGCGUGGGGAGCAAACAGG